UUACACUGUUACACUAAUAGAAGAGAUAAGGUGUAAUGGCAAGCAAACCCUUAUCAAUAACUCAUAUUUACCAUUGUUGCCAUUCCCUAAUCCAAAAAAAAAUAAAAAAAAUCUUAUUUUCUCUUCUCUCUCUCAGCAUCCGCCUCCAUCAUUCAUCUUCUUCUUCUUCUUCUUUUUUCUUUUUUUGUUAAAAAAUCAACCCAACUAAACCCUUUUUUCACUCCCUCAGAUUCGCCACCUCCAAUUCUCUACCACCAAUCACUUCCUUAAUUAUACAAUCAAAUCGACAAUUUUGUUUGGGCAAGAAGCCAAUGACAAAGAAGACUCCUAUUUAAUCGCAAUUUUCAACAAGAGAAUUCAGUUUGUUGAAAUCGCCGUUGGAGAGAGAUAGAGAUUUGGGUCUUACUCCAUCGCAAUUACUCCCAUCUUAUUCCGACAACGAUUCUGAAUCUACGCUCCUUAUAGCCAGUGGUCCUGGGCAUCACGUUUUGUGGUUCAAGACUUCAACACGGUGAUGGAUAAUGUGGAAGAAGAGAAAGAAAAUAAAAGUGACGGUGAUGAUUCUAGCGAAAUUUCUUUGCAAAAUUGGAUCUUUUGAUUAUCUUCCUGUGUUUAGUAAUCUCAGAUUAUGUGCUAGGGCUUUUAAAUUUCGUUCUCCUUGGAACUGAGUGCUUUCAAAUUUCAAAAUUAUUUCAAAAUUGAUGUUGGGAUUGAGGGUUUCAAAUCUGCAAGUGAUUGGGUGAUGAAGUUGUGUUUUUUUUUCAGCCUUGAUUUUUAGCAACAUUAAAUUACCUUGUUUAUAUUUAUGCUUGAUCGUUUUCUUACAAGUCUUUAUAGUCUUUAUAGUUUGUAGUCUCUCUGCCACUAUAAUUCUUUCUAAAUUGUAUAGUAAGAAUGCUCAGAGAAGAGUUGCAGCUGCUUCAAGAACCUGGGUUCUAUGUGGGCGAAGUGGUAAAAGUGAUGGGAAAGAAAAAGGUCUUGGUUAAGGUUUAUCCAGAGGGGAAGUAUGUUGUUGAUAUUGACAAAAGUAUAUACAUAACGAAAAUCACUUCAUCAACGAGAGUUGCUCUUCGUAAUGAUAGUUAUGUUCUCCACCUGGUUCUAUUGGUUUGUGGCCUCUUUGGUGUUUUUAGUUUGUGAUACAAUGCAGCCUUUGUUUGGAUGUUCAAAAAGUAAGCUCAAUAAUCAUUAUCUGUUUCAUUAUUACCCAAGAGUAUAUGACAUGCAAUUCAAAAAGCUCACAACGUAGAAACGGCCAACAAAUAUUUAAAAACGCUAGAGUUGUUUUCUCUUGAUGGAAUGGAAAGGAAAUCUACUUUGGGUUAACACUGACAUGAGUCAUGGGUUCCCUUCAAUCUUAAGCAAGUGAUUGGUGAUAUAGAAGAGAAGAAGACGAUGGUGGAGAUGGAAAUAGUUCUAAUUAACUUCAAACAAAUCUUAGAUCUAAACAGAGGAAAGGAAAAAGAGAAAGAGAGAAAGGAAGAGGAUGAAGAGAGAGAGGAAGAGGGAGAGAGCAUGAAACGAUAAAAAAAAAAAAAAAAGAAGAGAAGAUAUUUGUGUGAGUGUUUGUGGAGAAAAUAAGGAGUAAAUGGUCAUUUCCAAUUUUACAAAGUGGUAUGGAGGAAAAGUUUUUUAAAAUAUGGCAUUUUUGUAGGAAAAACUUGAGAAAGUGGUAGAUUUGGCAAAUUUCCCUAAACCAAAACAUAUAGAACAUUCUAACGUAAUUUUGUUAACAAGAAUAUUGCUUUUGUUUCAUAAUGAUUUUGCAAUCUUCCCUUAAACAUUUGUGCAUUAUUCUAUUUUUUUUGAUUAAUUAUACGAUUAAAUUUUUGAUUAA